rnacentral:rRNA from 1 species
GACGAACGCUGGCGGCGUGCUUAACACAUGCAAGUCGAACGGAAAGGCCCUGCUUUUGUGGGGGGCUCGAGUGGCGAACGGGUGAGUAACACGCGAGUAUCCUGCCCUUGACUUUGGGGUAUAUUCAGGGAACUGGGGCGCAUACCGGGCAUAGGCCCCUGCUGCAUGGGGGUGGUUGGGAAGUUUGGGCGGUUGGGGAUGGUCUCGCGGGUUACCAGGUUGUUGGUGGGGUAUGGGCUUACGAAGGGUUUGCCGGGUAGGCGUCAUGAGCGGGGGAACGGGCACAUUGGGACUGAGAGACGGACCAGACUGCUACGGGAGGCAGCAGUGGGGAAUAUUGCACAAUGGGGGGAAGCCUGAUGCAGAAACGCCGCGUGCGGGAUGACGGGCUUCGGGUUGUAAACCGCUUUCGCCUGAGACGAAGCGUGAGUGACGGUAAUGGGUAAAGAAGCACCGGCUAACUACGUG